UCCGCCCGCCGCCAUGGCGGCCUUCCCCCGCCGCCGCCGCUUUCUGGGCGGCUUCGUCUGCGGGGCCGCGGCGGGCACGGCCGUGUCGUGCUGGGCUGCGUGGCGGCUCCUCCGCAGCCAAAGCCAGCCGGAGCCGGUCCCCGGGCGAGCCUUGCCAGAGGAACCAGUAGAAGAGUCUCUGCUGGAAAAAUAUGGAUUCCCUGAAGCUGGAACAGAGACCAGAUGUUACACAAAUCACGCACUGUCUUAUGACCAGGCAAAACGGGUGCCUAGAUGGGUGAUUGAACAUAUUUCAAAACAGAAGACACUGGGCAAUGCAGACCGAAGGCACUGUAAAUUCAGACCAGAUCCUAACAUCCCUCUAAUGUUUAGUGCUGUCAAUGAAGACUACCUUGGGAGUGGAUGGUCACGAGGACACAUGGCACCAGCAGGAGAUAACAAAUUUUCAACAAGAGCUAUGGCUGAAACAUUUUACCUGUCUAACAUCGUGCCUCAGAAUUAUGAAAAUAAUGCUGGAUUUUGGAACAGAAUGGAAAUGUAUUGUCGGGAAUUGACUGAGAGAUUUGAGGAUGUUUGGGUAGUUUCUGGACCUCUGACCUUGCCUCAAACAAAUGAUGAUGGAAAGAAGAGUGUUACUUACCAGGUAAUUGGAAAGGAUGAUGUAGCUGUGCCAUCCCACCUCUACAAGGUGAUCCUUGCCAGACGGAGCAGAAAGUCUACAGAACCCUUGGUACUGGGGGCUUUUGUGGUGCCAAACGAUCCCAUAGGCUUCAGUCACCAGCUGACUGAGUUCCAAAGUAGAAGCAGAGUUUAUACAAGUUGCUACCAGUGCAGACUGAGUCUUCAUAAAUUAAUAACGUGGGAGAUGUCGGUGUGUGUUGCCUGGAGUAACGAAGUGCCAGAUACUUCAUGUGCCUCUUGAUGGUCUUGUGUGUGCUUCACUGGAGUCCAAGCAACCUUUUGGCACUGUGAUGGUGUCAUCCUUUGGAAAAGCUGAGAGGUUACAGAUCUCCUGCAGUGCUCAUACACCUAUGGACAGCCGAAACAGAUCUCGGUGCUACAGACACUUACCUGUCUAGCAAAAAUCCUGUGUUGAGACAGCACCAGUUGUACGUGAGGAACUCCAGGUGUCUUCCCUUUCUGCUGACAGCUUGCCAUUACAACAGCAGAAGUGCCGAGUGUGACUCUCCCGCGGAGGCCUGCUAUGGAGACCAGCUGCUCCCUAACUCAGUACCUCCUUGGGCUUACGUGCCCCCUUGAAUUCCUGCAAGCCCUAAUUACCAUAAUUUUCAUGCCUCAUGGCUUACCGCAUAGACUAGACUCCCUACAUAAUUUUCAGCUCUGUUUGAGCGUGGUUGGUGUUCCUCAGCUCCCGUUGGAGGGUGGCAGCAGGUGGUGAACGGUGAAACCACUUCCAGCGCUGGUCUGUGCCGAAGAGUACGUUGACCUGCUCGUUUUCUGCUGGUUUCCUCAUCCGAAAUAACUGUGGAGUCUGGCAUAUAGCAAAAAAAUGUGCUUUCUUUACAAUAGGAAAUAUAAGACAAGGAACAGCAAGGGGGUGAGGCUUUACACACUUGUUUGAGCCGCCUCUGUCAGUAGUUGCUUCAAGAUCCUUCAUGAGAACUGUGCUCAUGUCCGUGUCCAUCUGUCAUUCCUGUUGCACACUUAAUCACUUCCCUGCGUGCAUCUGUAGUGACAAUACAAACCUCUGUGAUGCAGCUAAGCAGCAGGAGUCCUGGAAAUGGACAAGUCUGUCCUUCGCUCUUCCACUGUUUUAUUAUGUUUGUUUUUAAAGCUAAAUACCCGAAUAGUGAGGGAAGUUGACGACUAGGCUGCCCGCAGCCUAAUACAAUGAUUUUCUGCUAUUCCCUUGACUGUCUACUCUUGAUUGUUACUGCUAGUCUUGAAUCGGGGUGAAAGGGAUGGGAAAUAGGAGGUGGAUGGGAAGGGAAUGGAGGGGAGAGCUGCCGCUGUGCUCAAGGGCUCUGGGCUGCAGCCCACCGGCUCGGCUUGGUGUGCUUUUGGUAUUUGGCCUUUUGAGGGCAGACUGUUUCCGCAGUGUCAGCCUCGGUGGCCAAAAAUGAUGGGGGAUACGAAUCAAGUGUCUCUGGCCCGUGAUAACUGUCUUUCUUUCUGCUCGUGAUACCAAGAUACCCAUUUAAAAUGAAUUGUUUUCAGCGUUAUAUUGACAGCAGUGCAGUGUGAAGCUAAUGAUUUUUCCUGGAUAAAGGUUUUGACAGUAAUGUUUGAAAGUGCCUUUAGAUUGACCACCCAAGUUGUGUAUCUGCUCCGAAGACAAUUUUGACUCCAGCUUCAUGAAUCUCAUUCUAGGUGAGGAUUUAGGCCUGCACUGAUGUCUUGCAAUGCUAUUGUUUUGCAUCUGUAUACAUAGUUUGGGGGCUGAGGGGCGGAAUUUAAAGUUCUGCUUUUUAUUUUUGUGUGGUUGGUUCACUUUGGAGCACCGUUUUGCAAUUUUCAGUUUGUCUUGUAGUAGUAAAGAUGGAUCUCAUUAGCUAGUUGUGCUAUGUGCUGCACUAACCUGUGGAGAAACAGCCCCUGUCCUGAAAAAGUAACACAUAUUAGAUAACCGCAGGCAACAACUGGAAGGGGAGAAGCUACACACCCAGAAAUCUGAGGAUUUCUUUCAUCAAAGGGCUUCAGAAGUGCUGCAGCACCCACCUUUGAGUGUCCUUUCUGCCACUGGAAUCAUCUCCCUGAGGGAGACACUCAGGUGUCCUGUAAAAUAAAUGGAGGCAAGUAGGUAAGAAAACCCAGGAUUUGCAAAAGCUGCUUAUCUGGCCAGUAGUGAUUGCUGGAGAUGGGCACUGGACUUCUCUGAGGGUUUUCAGUCCUGAGCCUUUUUUUGGAAUUGGCUAGACAAGCUAGGCCUCUGUCAUGGAAAACCAUUAAAUAGAGGUACUUCUGCCAGUACACCACCUGUUUGAGCGAGAUGUCCAAGCAGACACACUUCUCACAGCCUGCUCUGAUUCAGUUCAUGGACUUGAAACCACUGAUCUUUCUAGUGGAAACUUCCAGUUUGUACAAACCCUACCAAACUGGCCAGCUAGGGCUGUGCUGUCCCCAGGCUCCUCACGAGAGGAGCAGCCUCGUCAGCCCCAGAGGAUUUGAAGAAGGUCUCCUGCCUGCCAGGCACCCUUGUCAUCUGUGCUGGUGGGUGGAAUGGGUUGCUGAAAUAGGGCAGCCUUGCUUUGGCUGCCUUUGGUGGGAGGUCUCCAUGGUGAAGGAGCUCCAAAGACACGUCCCAGGUAGGGCCAGUCAGGUAGGUAAACCAGAGCUGCUUAAAGAUGGGACAGCAGAGGAACAGGGAGAGAUUUAUUUGGUGGCAGCUUGCAGAGAAGUGGGGACCUCUGGUACUGUAAUGCCUGGGUCUCUUUAUGUGUUUAACCCGUGCCAGCCUGUGUGAAGAAAACCCCAAACCCUCCUGUGCCCAUGUGGUCCUGUGUGUUUGUUGGCCAGCAGUGAAGCUGUGGAAGCAUUAUAUAUAAACCCCAAAGUGCUCUUGCUAGUAACCUGGCUCAGUGGGGAAGUGAGGAGCAAUUUUGCUGUUAUUUUUGAAUUGUCUUCUCCCGCAGUCACACAGGAAAAGCUUUUCUCACCAUGCAGCAAAGGAAAUGUAGGAAAUGUUCCUUUCUUUUUUUUUUUUUUUUUUUUUGAUUCAAGUCCAUCUAAUCAGCUCCACCUACACAGUGGUGGUAUAGCCAGUUCUCACAUGCUUCCUAAUAGCCAUCUGCCUGUGCAAUUAAUGGCUUGUCUGCUUUUACCAUAGCUUGGAGGAAAAGACUGAACAAGAGCUUUGAGUAUUUGCUUAAAAUAUCUGCAGUGUCUGUGUGGAUGCUCCAGGAUGGAUGCUCAGCGCAGGCUACGAACAACCCCCACUUUCCCGUAUUGUAAAAUAUUAGAGCAACUGGCCUUUUCCACCCUGCCUUUCAAACAGAGCACAUUUCCCACCUGCCGUGUGAAAAAUUAACAGCUGUGGCAACAUAAUAUUCCCAAAAUGCUCGCUUCCAGGAGCUGAACGCGAGGCUUUUCAUGUUGGUUUGAGAGGUACGAUGGCUGGCAUCCCAGCUUCCCCGCUGGUGCGUUCAGCGGGUGGGGAGAGAUGUGGAAAACAGGUCUGGAAUGAAGUGCUUCCAGCUCUGCUUAAGAAACAGUGUGGAGGUAUUUAGCAGAUCACAGAAGUAAAUUUGGUUUGUGUCAAGAAUAAAUAUUUCACAAGACAGCAAAUAAAGUCCUGUGCAAGUUUUCCCUAGCAGCUCUCGGCAGCCGAUGAGGCAGGGCUCGGCAUCGAGCAGGCUGGAGCCGGGGAGGGAAUGGGAGCACCCGCCGAGCUGCUGGUGCCCAACAGCUGUAAGUCCUGUCCCAUCUUUGCAUGGAUCCUUCCAUCUGGAGGAAGACCAGCCCGUCUCCCUGCCAGCCUCCUUUUAGUCCCAUGCAUCAAGAAAAAUACAUGUUCCUCACCCCAUGGCUGGUUUGUGACCCAGCCAAUGCUCUUCGGUUUGCAGUGCCUCCAAAAGCGGGGUGGCCGUGGCCGAGCACCUGGGGAGCCACAGUGGGACACAAAGCGUGGUGAAAUGAAACCAUAGCUGGAUUAGACAGCCUGGCCGUACAAGUGGGCUUGAGCUUGGAUUUGAUUACCAGAGUGUCAUAAUAUGCAAGGUAAGCUAAAACAGAAGGGAUGAAAGCAAGGCAAGAAAGCUGACCUGAGUGAUGGCAGUGCUAGAGGGGAGGAUGCCAAAUCGUGUCCCUCAGCCAUCAGCAGGUCCCUUGGGUUGAACCUGAGCUGCUUCAGCGGCAGCUGAAGGACCUUCUGCAGAACAUCAGCCCUGUGAUACCGCUCUGCGAGGUGGACAGGUAGGGUUAUCGCCCUAUGCCUGUGCAUGCGUAUACAUAUGCUGGUCCCAAAAGGAGAUGGGCAAGAGACGGAAGAAGGCUUGCUGCAAGCACUGCAGCUGUGAUACACGCAGUCUGUUUCCUUUCAUCACAUGUGACUUCGUUUUUCAGUCUCUUCCAGCUCUGGGUACUGAGCCUUCAGCCUUUACCUGUCUUUAUCUUAUCUGCACCUCCAUAGGCUGAAUUUCAUCAUCUGCAAGGAGACACCACUCCUUUCCCAUUCCUGUGAAGGGGGGAAGGGGAGACAAUAUAACCACUAUCCUGCUUAUUUAUCUGGGACAUAGUUUUACACCUAACUGAGCUCACCUCAAGCUGUGAUGUGCAGCAGCUGGAGCUCCAGAAAAAGGUGCUGGGGUUCACCUAACUUGAUUUAACUGUGUCUUGAAGAUGUAUUGCUAUUCCUAUUGCUACAGUAUUGCUAACUGUAUUGUUACAUUAUUAGUAUAUCAGACUGACUGUCCUUUUCAGUCAAGUGAAAUCUAAUCAGAGGAUCCAGUAGUGCUGACUUAGAGCUCAGGACCUCACAGCAAGAGAUGUGCUGCUGACAGGGCUGCCUUUCCCCAGGGCCACCCCCUGCCUGGGGGGACUUUGGAGCCCUGCAGAUACCUGCCAGGGUUAAAGAACAAAUAGAGUGAUUGCUUAGUGUGUCUUAGCCUGGGUGACAACAUCUUAACCUUUCCUUUUUAUCUUUGUCACAGGCAUCCUGUAAUGUCAAACACGUGUAACAGGGAAAAGCUGCGCAGGGAGAAGCUGUGCAGGAGCAGUGAAAGGUUGCAGCAGAAUUUCCCCAUCCUCCCUUGUCCCAGCUCCAGUCUUCAG